ACGUACUGAGCCCCAGCCCUGACCUGCCUCGCGCGGCACCCUCUCGCGGCACGCUACCCCACUAUCGCAUCGGCGGGAUGUACAGGGUGUUUCUGAAAUCGCGAAGUAUCUUGCACAAUCAAGCCCGUGAUGUUAACGAAACUUUACAAGUACACAGCAUGCAGUGUAUUGACCUUUCAACGAAUGAAACGUCCUGUAUAAUGGGGAUGCGCAUGGGGCGGGACAUCCCGCCGAAAUUUCUGGCGUGCGUCUACACGAAUUCGGGGCCUAUGCCAAUUUCUCGCAAUUAUCCUAUUUCUCUCGAUUUUUAAAUAGAUCAAUCCCACGAUCGCCCGUUUUCAAGAUCAUUUCGAGCUUAAUGUUAGAAAAUAACGAUUGUCGUGUGCAAAUGUUACCUACAAGCGAACGAACAAAUUUCAAGUAAAUGUUUGUUUCAAACGUACCUUGGCAAUGCUUCCCAAUAAGGAACGGCGAACAUUGCAAAUUAUUUAACGCGCGACUUUACGCAGUUCAAGUGCGUUUACGUGAUAUAAUAUUGCCAACGAAAAGGAAUACAGCUCUAGCCUAGCAGUAAUAUUCUAGCAGAGCCACAAACGACAUACUUUGUUCCUGUUUGGAUCGUAUGAUCGUCAUUCUUUUACAUCCUAUUUUGUUUCAAAAAAACGAGGUUAUUCUUUCGAUCGUUGGAAUUCGUCUGCAUCACGCUAAUCCCAUUCGCGCGUACAACAAAAAGACGAAAAUAGCCGAUAACACGGCUAAAAAUAAAUAUAUAACGUAUCUAAUAAUAAUAAUCUUAAAUAACGAAGUUCCACUAUACACUGUGUAGAUAUUUGUUCUGAAAAUUGUUAUCUCUCUCAUAAGUUUGCGAAACACUGCAUUGCGCUAUUGCACGGUACCACCACAAGCCUGCUUCCGGUGAAUUUAACAUGCACCAAUCCUCCCCCGUUUUACCUAAAAUUCGAAAAUUAUUGCGCACUGAGCAAAAGUAAAGUUGCACAGUGCAACAAACAUCGUAGAAAUUUAAAUAUAUUGAAAAAUGUAGCAUUAAGUUACAUUAAAAGAAGCUUUAUACAUUGAAGUUACAAUAAUCACGAUUUCUAACCUCGACCUACAUCUUAUGACUAAUAAAACGUAAUUGACCUAAUUAAUGAAACAUAAUUUUUUUUUUUUUUUUUUGUCAAUUUAAAAUGUUAUUACCUGAAGAAAUCAGAUUUAGACAGGAAACUUACCCCGUUUGGGGAUUCACGUCGCCUUGUGUGUAUUCGUUUCGUUCGUACGUGGCCAUUCCCGUGAGCGAGACAUAACACUAAAUGUUAGAGUAUCUUUCGUCGUGGCGGAGGAUUUUUCGUUUUCACAUGUCGAUCGUAUCACGUUCAUGCUGCUUUCGAAAUGCAGAGCCGCAUAUUUGCGAAAAUUUCUUUCUCCUUACAGCUGCGCUAUCGGUAUGCACGUGCGCACUGGCUGCAACGAAAUGUAUCGCAAUUCCCGCUUCAAGAUCACCUCGAACUUGUUUAAUUUUUUUUUGAACUGAUCUGGACGCUUCGUGAAUAAUUUUUUCUGCAAAUUCAUCGACACCUACGAUCCCACGCGCUAGCGAGUCCAAGUCGUUCAAGUUACCGCCGUCUGCGAUGUUCUGUAAUAUUGUAAUAUUAUAAUGACAAAUGAAAGAUGAAUAACGAAUACAGUAAAUAUUCGAUUACGAUUCUCUCCUUCUCGGUGUUGCGUUUUGUUUGGGAUACGUGAAGAAUUAAAUGUGCGAUUGGACGUAACGAAUUGUGCAAAAAUUGAUAGUCUGUAAUGAUUGUUUAUGGAGGUUAGGUUUCUUCUUCUUCUUCAAGUUACAGCUGAAAACGUUAAAUACUUUCUUUUUUCUCUCAGAUUAAUUAUCCGAGACAUUUGACUUAAAGAGUUGCUUAUGCCUCUCCUUUAUUCGAUAUUGCAGCCAUAAUAAUUAUCCAUGUAAAUACGUAUAAAAAAGUAUAAAUAGAUUAUACAUUGCAUAUACAUGUAAAGCAGCUUGAUAUUACAGAUAAUGCGCCAAAGGGCUAUGAAUAUGUUAGGAGUAAAUUACUACCUUAAUUAAAAUUGAAUAAAUAAUUCAAUUGUAAGUUGCACAAGGCACGCAAUUCUGAAUGCAUUGCUUGAGAAGUAAAGAGAUCAUUUCAAUAACAUU